rnacentral:lncRNA from 1 species
AAUUGUCUGGGAUCCUAUGCACUAGAAAAGGAGGGUCCUCUCCACAUACCUCAGUCUCACCUUUCCCUUCCAGCAGGGAGUGCCCACUCCAUAAGACUCUCACAUUUGGACAGUCAAGGUGCGUAAUUCUUAAGUGAACACAACCAUGCACCUUAGACAUGGAUUUGCAUAACUACACACAGCUCAACCUAUCUGAAUAAAAUCCUAGUCUCAGACCCCUUUUGCAGUACAGCAGGGGUGCUGAUCACCAAGGCCCCUUUUCCUGGCCUGGUAUGCGUGUGAUUAUAUUUGUCCCGGUUCCUGUGUAUUAGACAUGGAAGCCUCCCCUGCCCCACCCCACCCUCAAUCUUCCUUUCCCUUCUGGCAGGGAGUGCCAGCUCCAUAAGAACCUUACAUUUGGACAGUCAAGGUGCACAAUUCUAAGUGACCGCAGCCAUGCACCUUGGUCAAUAAUGUGUGUAACUGCACACGGCCUAUCUCAUCUGAAUAAGGCCUUACUCUCAGACCCCUUUUGCAGUACAGCAGGGGUGCUGAUAACCAAGGCCCAUUUUCCUGGCCUGUUAUGUGUGUGAUUAUAUUUGUCCAGGUUUCUGUGUACUAGACAAGGAAGCCUCCUCUGCCCCAUCCCAUCUACGCAUAAUCUUUCUUUUCCUCCCAGCAGGGAGUGCUCACUCCAUAAGACCCUUACAUUUGGACAAUCAAGGUGCACAAUUGUAAAGUGACCACAACCAUGCAUCUUGGAAAUUAUGUGCAUAACUGCACAUGGCUUAUCCUAUUUGAAUAAAGUCCUACUCUCAGACCCCCUUUGCAGUAUAGCUGGGGUGCUGAUCACUGAGGCCUCUUUGCUUGGCUUGUCUAUAUUCUUGUGUACUAGAUAAGGGCACCUUCUCAUGGACUCCCUUUGCUUUUCAACAAGGAGUACCCACUACUUUUUAAGAUUCUUAUAUUUGUCCAAAGUACAUGGUUUUAAUUGACCACAACAAUGUCCCUUGGACAUUAAUGUACGUAAUCACCACAUGGUUCAUCCUAAUUAAACAAGGUUCUACCCUCUCACCCUCCAUUUGCAGUAUACCAGGGUUGCUGACCCCCUAAGUCCCCUUUUCUUGGCUUGUUGACAUGCAUAAUUGCAUUUAUGUGGGUUCUUGUGCCCUAGACAAGGAUGCCCCACCUCUUUUCAAUAGUGGGUGCCCACUCCUUAUGAUCUUUACAUUUGAACAGUUAAUGUGAAUAAUUGCAGUUGUCUACAACCCUAUCACUUCUAGGACCAUUAUACCUCUUUUGCAUUACUGUGGGGUAUACUGUUUCCCUCCAAGGCCCCUUCUGGUGGACUAUCAACAUAUAAUUGAAAUUUUCUUUUGUCUUUGUCAGUAGAUUAAGGUCAUACCCCAUCACCUUUCCUUUGUAGUACAGCAGGGUGUCCUGAUCAACCAAAGUCCUGUUGUUUUGGACUGUUAAUAUGUGCAAUUACAUUUGCUCCUGAUCUGUGCACUAGAUAAGGAUCCUACCUACUUUCUUAGCGUUUUUAGCAGGUAGUGGCCACUACUCAAGACUGUCACUUGGAAUGUUCAUGUGCACAAACUCAAUUCUCUAAGCAUGUUCCUGUACCACCUUUGCUUUAGAGCAGGGGGAUGAUAUUCACUAAGUGCCCCUUCUUUUGGACUUAAUAUGCAUUAAUGCAAUUGUCCACCUCUUCUUUUAGACUAAGAGUUGAUCUCCACAUACUCCCCUUGCAUCAGGGGCAUGUUAAUUAUGAAUGAACCCUUUUCUUUUAAUAUUAAUGUCAUAAUUGUAUUUGUGGACCUGUGUAGGAGAAAAAGACCCUAUGUUCCUCCCAUUACCCUUUGGAUUGCUGCUGAGAAGUGUUAACUACUCAUAAUCUCAGCUCUUGGACAAUUAAUAGCAUUAAUAACAAUUAUCAAGGGCACUGAUCAUUAGAUAAGACUCCUGCCUCCUCGUUGCUUACAUCGGGGGUACUGACCCACUAAGGCCCCUUGUACUGUUAAUGUGAAUAUUUGCAAUUAUAUAUGUCUCCUUCUGUUAGAGUGGGAUAUUAUGCCCUAGUAUCCCCUUUGCAUUACUGCAGGGGCUGCUGACUACUCAAAACUUCUCCUGGGACUGUUAAUAGGCACAAUGGCAGUUAUCAAUGGUUUUCUCCCUCCCUGACCUUGUUAAGCAAGCGCCCCACCCCACCCUUAGUUUCCCAUGGCAUAAUAAAGUAUAAGCAUUGGAGUAUUCCAUGCACUUUUCUAUCAAACAGUGGUCCAUACUCCCACCCUUUUGCAUUGCGCCAGUGUGUAAAAUCACAGGUAGCCAUGGUGUCAUGCUUUAUAUACGAAGUCUUCCCUCUCUCUGCCCCUUGUGUGCCCUUGGCCCCUUUUUACAGACUAUUGCUCACAAUCUCAGGUGUCCAUAUAUGCAGCUAUUAGGUAAGAUUGUGCUGUCUCCCUCUUCCCUUCCCUCUGCCCUGCCCCUUUUGCCUCUUUGCUGGGUAAUGUUGACCGGACAAGGCCCUUUCUCUUGGACUUAAACAAUUCUCAGUUGCACUUUCCUUGGUCCCACCCAUUAUACAUGAACCCCUCUACUUCCUUUCGCAUUGCUUCUGAGUAUGCUGACUACCCAAAGCCCCUUCUGUGUUAUUAAUAAACACAGUACUGAUUGUCCCAUUUUUCAGCCCAUCAGUCCAAGAUCUCCCUACCACUUUGGUGUGUUGGUGCAGUGUUGACUAUGAAAAGCAGGCCUGAACUAGGUGGAUAAGCCUUCACUCAUUUUCUUUCAUUUAUUAAUGAUCCUAGUUUCAAUUAUUGUCAGAUUCUGGGGACAAGAACCAUUCUUGCCCACCUGUGUUACUGCUUUACUGUGCAAAAUACUGAAGGCAAGUCAGACCCAGGGAGCUGGAUUGCCAUCCUUUAUUUUGUGUUUCCAGUAUACACUAUCAAAUUGUCUCCCCAGGAAGGAAGGUUGGCACUUUCUCUGCAUUCUUCUUUCCAGAGCAGAUUGCCUGGUUAAGAAUCUCUUGUUGUCCCCUUUGUAUAUUGUUAUUGUAAAGUGCCAAAUGCCAGGAUACAGCCAGAAAAAUUGCUUAUAUUAUUAUUAAAAAAAUUUUUUUAAGAAAGACAUCUGGAUUGUAGGGUGGACUCGAUAACCUGGUCAUUAUUUUUUUGAAGCCAAAAUAUCCAUUUAUACUAUGUACCUGGUGACCAGUGUCUC